GUAUUCUUCUCGUGUCGCUGCACAUCAGCGAUGCGGGUUUGGCGACCCGGAUU
rnacentral:ncRNA from 1 species